AGAGUUUGAUUCUGGCUCAGGAUGAACGCUAGCUACAGGCUUAACACAUGCAAGUCGAGGGGCAGCAUGAGGCCAGCUUGCUGGUCUGAUGGCGACCGGCGCACGGGUGCGUAACACGUAUCCAAUCUUCCCACCGCUCAGGGAUAGCCUUCCGAAGAAAGAUUAACACCUGAUGGUCUCGCCGCGGGGCAUCCCGUUGCGAGUAAAGGAUUUACGGCGGUGGAUGGGGAUGCGUCCGAUUAGGUAGCAGGCGGGGUAACGGCCCACCUGGCCUACGAUCGGUAGGGGUUCUGAGAGGAAGGUCCCCCACACUGGAACUGAGACACGGUCCAGACUCCUACGGGAGGCAGCAGUGAGGAAUAUUGGUCAAUGGGCGGAAGCCUGAACCAGCCGAGUAAGCGUGAGGGAUGACGGCCCUACGGGUUGUAAACCUCUUUUGUUUGGGAAUAAAGUGCGGGACGCGUCCCGCUUUGCAUGUACCAUGCGAAUAAGCAUCGGCUAAUUCCGUGCCAGCCGCCGC
rnacentral:rRNA from 1 species